CUUUCAAACUAAACUGCUUGUGUUCUUUGGUAUAUUGAAGCAUACCUACAGCGGCAUCGGAUUGUUGCAGAUGAUUGUUUAUGGUAAUGAGAGACUCGAUAGUGCUAAUGCUAACUUCCUCUUUCGUCUCUUGAACGAAUUGUAAUUCUGUAUAAUGCAGAGCCUUGGCAUAAACAUUACACUUAGAUGCAUGAGCACUAAU